rnacentral:rRNA from 1 species
AUUGAACGCUGGCGGCAGGCCUAACACAUGCAAGUCGAACGAGUGGCGGACGGGUGAGUAAUGUCUGGGAAACUGCCCGAUGCAGGGGGAUAACUACUGGAAACGGUAGCUAAUACCGCAUAACAUCGGAUGUGCCCAGAUGGGCUUAGCUAGUAGGUGGGGUAACGGCUCACCCAGGCGACGAUCCCUAGCUGGUCUGAGAGGGUGACCAGCCACACUGGGACUGAGACACGGUCCAGACUCCUACGGGAGGCAGCAGUAGGGAAUAUUGCACAAUGGGCGCAAGCCUGAUGCAGCCAUGCCGCGUGUAUGAAGAAGGCCUUCGGGUUGUAAAGUACUUUCAUCGAGGAGGCGUUACUCGCAGAAGAAGCACCGGCUAACUCCGGGGCAGCAGCCGCGGUAAUUUC